AUGUUGACGUAAACACCUUUCUCCAAGAAGCCGUCUGACACGCUGAAGCCAAAGUCGUCACUCUCCGGGUCCUUUAUCACUGUUACCUGGAGAAGGUCAACACAAGGACGUGUGAAACAACUGGAUGACUUGGCGCAUAGAUGAACUUGGACAACUAGUACCUGACACACUGACAAGAUCCAGAGAUGCAAGUGGACUGCCAAGUCUUUUCCGAAGAAGCUGGCUCUCCUGUGUUCCCUCUAUAUAGGUCUGUGCACUCCUCAGUUUAUGGGACUGUAUAUACAACAUUGCACAACUUGUAUUUUAUCAGUAAGGUGAAUCAGUUUUUGCUGUGUCUGAAAUGCACUGGAUAUUUAUGUUUAGAGAAUAUCUUAAUUUCUCAGACACUUUUGUGAUGUGAUUGUGUUUCCAGAUUUCUUUGUCAACGAAGAGGUAUGUGUGUAGGUUUCUGGUAAAUCUGUGGUCUGGUAAAAUUUUACUGAUGAGCCCUUCUCAAAGUGUACAGAACAAUCCAAAAAGGCAGCUUGUUUUCCUUGACACCCUACCUUGUGGAGCUGAUGCUACUAUCCAUGAAGUUUAUAUAUUCCAUGAAGGCUUCAGCUUCCUCCAUGUAGAGAUACUAGUCACAAUAUUUAACAGUUGAAAACCUACAGCAUCACCAUGCCUUUGUCUCACUGUUUUUCAAUAGAUGGUUGCCAAGUAGUAAACACUUCUGAGUAAGAGUGAAGUUGGUCUUACUGUUUAACAGCAGUCAUUUUCUGAUGACCUUCACUGCUUCAGAUGUAGGUAGACACAUCAAAAGUAAGGUUUCACCUGGGGACAGUUUCAGUUUAGUGGCCUUGUUGACAAAAUUGGUAAAAAUUUGGGAUUUGUUGAGACUUCCAACAAUGAUUGUGGUAAGAUCUUUUGCAGUGUCAUAGGUGGCCGAGUGUUACGGAUGCAACGGAUCUCCUGGCGGAGGAUGCUCUCACAUCUCACUUCAGAGCCUUUCUGUAACGGUGCAUCUCUUCUGGGGACAUGCAAUCGGUUGUGCGCUGCUCAAAAGGCUGAUCCAACAUUGCGCAAAUGUUUCUCCAGCGUGGUAAGUGCUGAUGAGGUUAACAGUGCUUAUCAUGUGAGCUUAUCAUGACUUUCUGAUGCCUCUGACUGGAGUGUUUUGAAGCAGAUCGUAGUUCCAUCUUGCUAUCGUUCAUCCAUUUUGUCUUUGGGUCAUGAAAGUCAGUGGUCAGGGCAUCUGGGGAUUACCAAAAUUUAUCCAUUUCUGCUUAGACACUUUUUCUGGCCCUCAUCCUCCCCUGUUAAUCUGUAUUGUAUUCAGCUGAGAGCCAGUCCUGCGCCUUCGUCUGCCUUGCCUCCAAGUUGUUGUUAGCUAGGGACCUUUAGCUUGUGAAGAAACAUUGUUAGAGAAUUCUUUGUUAGUUUUCAGUCAGGGGUGCUGCUUCCAUGUAUUUUGGUUAAGAGUUUUCUCUGUAUUGAUUUUCUUCCAGUUUUGUGGUAUCAGCUUGUGAGUAAAGUUCACCUUCAGUUAUAUUUAUUUCUUUGACUUUUUUAAACUCACUUUUUGUACUUUUUUUGGCAAUACCUCCUUUCAAAAUAAAUCCAAGCCUUUCACUCUGGAACUCAGCAUUUGUUUCAUUUUCUUUUUGUUACUGUCCAGCUACCCUAGACAGCCGGGUUGUAACACCAAGUUAAUGCUGCUUCAGAAGUCCAUAAAUACACAAUGUGACCUUUUCAGAGUAUUGCAAUGAAUGGUCAAUGGCUUUCUCAUUUCACAGCUAUUAGUGGCAGUCCAUGGCCUUCUUCUUCUAAGGGCCUGUGAAGUCUCACCUUAUACAGUAUUGUCACCAAAUAAUGUGGUUAUACUGGUCAUGUUAAUCGGCUGUGUGGAAUGCCACUGCGCACCUCCCCUC